AGCUGCGCGGCGGCCGGUUCGAACUGCCCUGCCCUCCUUCUCCUUCCUAUGCAUGCUCCCUCCCGCCGCCGCAGCGGCCAUUCGCGCCACGGCGGGCUCGCCGCGGGCCGUACGCCGCGUUCACGCGCGUCUCCUAAAGGAGGGGCUCGCCGACCUCCUCCCCGCGCCGGCGCUCCUUGUGUCCGCCUACGCCAGGUCGUGCCUCCUCCCCGACGCCCGCCGCGCGUUCGACGACGCGCCGCGCCGGGACCUCUACCUCUACUCAGCGCUCCUCGCCGCGGUCUCCCGCUCCUCCGCCCCGGAACUCGCGCUCCCGCUCCUCCGCCGCAUGCUCUCUGACGACGCGCUCCGCCCGGACCACUUCGUCCUUGCCUCCCUCGCCAGCGCCGCCGCCAGGCUGCGCAGCCUCCGCCUCGGCAGGCAGCUCCACGCCCACUUUGUCGCAUCCCCGUACAGCGCCGACGACGUCGUUAAGUCGUCGCUUAUCGACAUGUACUGCAAGUGUGGCGUCCCUGAGGAUGCGCGGAAGGUGUUCGACAGUAUCGGUGUCAAGAACGGUGUCGUGUGGACGGCGCUGGUUUCUGGGUACGCGUCCAACGGCUGCACUGGCGAGGCGAUCGACCUCUUCCGGAGCAUGCCUGAACGCGGCCUCUUCGCGUGGACUGCGCUCAUCUCUGGGUUUGUCAAGGCCGGGAACAAUACUGGCGCCGUGGGGCUGUUUGUUGAGAUGAGGCGGGAUGGUGUCAGGAUUGAUGACGCGUUCGUGCUGGCGACUGUUGUCGGUGGCGCCGCAGAACUGGCCGCGCUUGUGCUGGGCAGACAGCUGCAUGGUUUUGCAAUAACGCUUGGAUUUCUGUCCAGUAUGAUUGUUGGGAACGCACUGGUUGACAUGUACUCUAAAUGCAGUGACAUACACUCUGCUAGGGAAGUGUUUGGGGGGAUUAUAGUCCGUGACGUCGUCUCAUGGACAACAAUUCUUGUUGGAGAGGCACAGCAUGGUCGAGUUGAGGAGGUAUUGGCUCUUUACGACAGGAUGCUUCUUGCAGGGAUGAAGCCCAAUGAGGUGACAUUUGUUGGGUUGAUUUAUGCUUGCAGUCAUGCUGGUCUUGUUCAGAAAGGGCGGCAGCUAUUUGAUUCAAUGAAGCGGGAAUAUGGCAUCAAGCCUGGACUGCAACACUAUACCUGCUAUCUGGACCUUCUUAGUCGCUCUGGCUAUUUAUCAGAAGCUGAAGAACUCAUCACAACAAUGCCGUAUGAGCCUGAUGAAGCUAGUUGGGGCGCCCUAUUGAGUGCCUGUAAGAAGCACAACGAUACUCAGAUGUGUCUCAGGGUCGCUGAUAAUUUACUAGAGCUGAGACCAAAAGAUCCUUCAACAUAUAUCUUGUUAUCUAAUGUCUAUGCAGUUAACUGCAAGUGGGAUUCCGUGGCCAAGGUAAGAAAAAUCAUGGCUGAGAUGGAGAUAAGAAAGGAGCCAGGGUAUAGUUGGAUUGAAGCUGGGAGGGAAUCUCGUAUGUUUCAUGCUGGGGAGGUUCCACUUGAUAUUGGAGAAGAAAUUACUCGUUUUCUUGAGGAAUUGGUCUCAGAGAUGCGCAAGAGGGGUUAUGUCCCUGAUACUAGCUCUGUGAUGCAUGACUUGGAAGAGAAUGAAAAGGAGCAGCAUCUGUUCUUGCACAGCGAGAGGCUGGCUGUAGCUUUUGGAAUACUCAAGUCCCCUCCGGGAUCAGUGAUUCGGGUUGUAAAGAAUCUCCGCGUCUGCGGGGACUGUCACACAGUAAUGAAGUUCAUCAGUGAGAUUGCACAAAGGAAGAUCAUCGUGAGAGAUGCUAGUCGUUUCCACCAUUUUGAGGAUGGUAACUGCUCUUGUAGUGAAUUCUGGUAGCUGAUCUGCUGAUGUUCAGUUGUAAUUAGUCUCAGAUUCGGCGGAUAAGCUCAAGCGAACAGGGGCGCCAUACUCUAGUGUACCUUAUAGAGCUAUGUGGAAUGGACCCAGAAGAGCUGAAUGAUGGAGCCCUAGUAAAGAACAAAAAACUGGCGUCCAUCUCCAAGAGAAGGAAAGUCGAAGUGGCAGACUCAGAGUCCAGCCCAAAAGCAGAAACCAAGAAGAAUGGAAAGAAGGACAAGGAGGGAAAGAAGAAGGGCCAGAAGCCCGAGGAUGAAUGACGUGCAGCGCUGCUCUUGGCUGUAGUGAUCCUUGCUAGACUAGGGACACACUCUUUUGUUGUUAUCCUCCCUUUGUUAAUGAAUCAGAACAGUUUUCGGUCUUGGAAAGUCCUCUCUUGGAAUGUUAGAGGCAUUAAUGCUGAAUGGAAAUGGGAUGCUGUGGGGAACAA